UUGUUUUGUUUGAAUAGGGAAAAGAUCCUUAUAUGAAAUCAUUAAAAUUGGUUUAAUAGCUUGAAGGAAACAAAAAGUUUAUGAAAACUUUGCAAUUGGAUAAAAUAAAGAUUGUAUUCAUUGUGUAUACUACAAGUAUAUAAGUACAUUUAGGAAACAGAAACAUAUCAUGUCACACUGAUUACAAUACAUCAGAAACUUGUAAAAUAAAUCUAUAUAAAUAAUUUCUCAUAAGUUUAGUAAAGCACCUGGUACUUGAUAAAAGACAUACAUGUAUUUUUAAGAAUUAUUGCAAAUUAUAUGUAACAAUUAUAAACUGUAUCCGAAAUGAACAACACAUUUGCAUAAAUAUAUUAUAUAAAAAAUAAUGAAUACAACAGAGAAGCAUGUGGGAUGUAAAGGGUUUACACAUGAUAAAUGUACAUUCAUUUGUUUACUUUAAUGAGUAAUUUUUUACUUAAAUAUUGCAUGAAAAACACAGAAAUUCCUCAGUGGUUGUUGAAUUAUCUGAAGGUGUGUUAACACAAUAUUUGUUGGUCUUUACGGGUGUGGUGAAUUUGACAUGCAGGCGAAAUUGUUGGGUCCAUUUUAAAAUUAUAUUUCCACCGUUCUUCAUCCUCAUCGAAAAGUGGGAGACAUUAUAUAGUAUUACGUACUAAGUAAAUGUGUUCUAUACAAAAUAUGUGCUGCUUCCAUAUGUUUCAAAGAAAGCCUUUUGUUAAGUUUUUGUCAUUAACAGUCAAAUUAAGGUUGACCAGUAAGAAACAUUUCUGAAACUAGUUCAUUAUAAUUUCUUAUGUUUUCAAGAUAUACAAAGCUUUCACAUUUUUCUUUUUCUGGUAAUGGUUCUAUUUUAGGGAUUUUAUGAAUUCAAUUUGCCUCAAACUUUAAUUAAAAAACAUCUUUUUUUUCCUGCUUUGGAGUCCUUGAUGUUUAAUUAGUAAUUUUGGCGUUAAUGCAGAGUAAAAGAUCAAUACACAGAAACUGUGUACUAUAUACAGAUUGGUAGGGGUCACUUAUCCAAUAAAAUUAAGGGUCACUUGUCCAGUAAAAUACCAGUUAUUGGAGAUUACUUAUGUGUAUGGUCUGCCAUAAGGUGUCCAAAUGACAUAAUUAUGAUUCAUUAAUGACAUAAUCAUGAUUCAUUAUAUAUUUUUCAUUUGUCACCUAACACCUAUCUUUAUGGCAUCCCUUAAAUUAACGAUGUGUGAAUAAAGAACAAACAAACGAUUGCAUAGCACCUGCUAUCAUGGAUAAUUGGAGUAUUGUCUCAGAAUUUUGGGGAGUUUAUAAUAAGGAAAUCAAUAAAUGAUAUCAAAGGAUUGUUAUUUCUCAACUCAUUUUAUUGGAAAGAAAACAACACUAUAACACGAUUUAUCCAAGCACUCUGACAAAUAUUUUGUCUGACUAUGUCCUAUCACUAAAGCCAUUGUUUAUAAAAAAAAAUGAUAAAUUUAUUCCAAUCACAAAUAUUGCAAUCAAUAUAAUAUGCACAUGUAAUAACUACAAAUUUAAUCUAACAGAAUAACCAAAUUUACUACACGAAAUAUAUAUACCUACCCUUUUUACUCAUUUUUCCUUUCAAUUUAUAAUUUCAAAAGGAUCAUUUUAUAUAUUUGGGAUUGUUUGUUCUGAUGAAUGUAUUGGAUACGGAAAGAUCAAAUGUUGUUUUUUGGCAUUAAAAGUUAAACUAUUAAACAAAUUUAAUAUCUGAGGUUUAUCCCUUUACAAAAUAUAUUAAUAAUUGUCUAUAUUUCUCAUUUUGCAAUAAUGGUAAGAACUUAUAAAUCCUAUUUUCACCUAUUACAAUACAAAUCAUCAAUUCAGACAUUUUUACAACUACCAAAAAAUGGUUUAGUUUUUCAUCUUAUGAUGAAAUGAAAGUUAUUAAAAGUAAUUCUGUGUUUGGUUUUAUAAUCCUCAUGCUUCUUCAGGUAAUCUUAAAAUUUAUAUUUUGUUAUUGUUGUUCCGUGUCUUUGCUUUCCCCGAUUUCAAAGUUUUCAUAAAAGAAAUAAUAGAUUGUUUCUUUAUAAAUCUAGAUAUUAAACCAUUAAACCAAUUUUAAUGAUUUGAAAUAAGGUUCUUUUCCCUAUUCAAACAAAACAAAAAGUUUACAAACAAUCAAUUAGGUUUUAAUUCUAAAAGCAAAAUUCAAAAAUAAAGUGAAUUAACUAUUUUUCACUUGACUAAACUUCAUAAACAUAAUAAUUUAUUGAUUUUAACAAUAAAAUUUCACUGUCAAUAUUUUUGUUCUUAUUCUAUAUUGUAUGCGUUUCUCAACAUCCUUCUUUGUGUAUGUUGUAUGCAAAUGUGAAAACCCUUCUUUGCCUAUGUUGUAUGCGUUACACUAUUUCUUUGUUGUAUGCAUUUCAUACCGACCUGAUAAAGUAACCGUGGGAGUAAAGGUGCGACCGGCGUGAGGCUCGAAGCCACGACCUACGAACCACAGUUUGACAAGAGCAGCUUAACAUGCAUCAACAAGAAGUCCUCCAAAAAGAAGGCAUGAAACAGAGCUGGUACCAAGAAGAAGAAGUUGUGCACAGAUACUGUAGACGUCAGCAAUCCUAUUUAUGAUGAGAAACGUCCGCUGGCAGCAAUAAUUGAAAUUGCAAAUCUAAGUACAGAUCCGAUGUCAAGUUCUACAGAAACAGGGUGUUUGUUCCAUACAAUUUCCAUGAGAGGCGCUGGGGAAUGUAAAUGCUGCUAAUGAGACCCUAAGAAUGGAGGUGGAUUGGCUACACCAGUCUGCUGUUAGGCAAACUCAUAAACAAACAAGCAGGCCUACAUCAUCGGAAGGUGAACUGACCCAUCAUUUGUCAACAUAGUGAAUUUAUCAAGAGCGCCACUGACUGACGGAAGGCUGGUAGAUCUGCAUGUAUUGCCGAUUGAUCAGGAUACAACAGAUUCCACAAUCUGCCCAGCUGCACCUUGGCUGAUGCGUGACCAAUUCCCAGACAGUGCCCAUUAAAAUCUUCUCCAGAUCCCUGAGCUGGUGUAACAUGUAUAAAUGGUCUGGGUAAUGUCCAAGGGAAACUGUCCAUGGCGAGAAACUGCGGUCAGCCGGUUAAUAAGUUACUCGAAAAGCCAUGGUGAUAAGAUGCCGAUCACAUACAAGGGUCAUGGAUGGGUACUUGCUUGGUGACAGUGGUUAUCCUUUCCGCCAUUACCUUCUAACGCCGUACCUGAACACACGAUCACCAGCACAGGAAAGAUAUAACAGAGCCCUGGUCAAGACUCGAGUUAUUAUUGAACAAACAUACGGUGUGUUGAAGCGCAGGUUUCCUUGCCUUUCAUAUGGCCUUCGUGUACAGCCACAUAGACGCUGUCAGAUAAUAUUGACCUGCUCCUUCCUCCACAACUUCGAUCUCGAUAAUGGAUAUAUAUUUGAUCGUCUGGACGUUUUUGAUGUUGAUCAACCAGAUCAUGACUUUCAAAUUCAAAAUCCAGGCAAUGGUCUUCUUUUCAGAGAUGUUUUCGCACAAACAUUCUUUUCCUGACUGAUAUAUUCGGUUUCCUUUUUCAUUAAAGUGCUGUUAUUGUUAUGACAGUAUUUGAGUCUUUGAAGAAAGUAAGAAUCAUUUUGUUUUUAGCUGAACUAAAUGAAGAAUGGAGAACUAUACUACUAUGCAUUAUUAUGUCGGCGUCGGCGUUGAUUGGACAUCUUGUUUAAGAUUUUGCAUAUAUGCACAUUUAAAGCUGCACUCUCACAGAUUGACCAUUUAAGCAACUUUUUUUAUUUUGUGUCUUGGAAAGAGCAAAUUUUUGUCGUAAAUAUCUGCAAACCAAUGAUAUAAGAUUGCUGACAAAAAAAUCAGAUUGUAGAUUUUCAUAUUUCGUACCAAAAUUAAUGUUUUAUGGCUUAAACCGUUACUAAUGGUUUAAGAAAAAUGCAUAAAAUAUCAAUUUUUGAACUUUUAUAUAACAAUCAGCCAUCUGAUUUUUUGUCAGCAGUCUUAUAUAAAUGGUUUACAUGGAUUUUCUCAAAAAUUGGCUUGUUCCAGGACAAAAAAUCCAAAAAAGUCGUCAAAACGUUCAACCUGUGAGAGUGCAGCUUUAAGCCAUUAUCUCUAGUAAAUACAUCAUUUACUGCAUUGAAACUUUGGAUAUGUAUUCCCAUCUAUAUAACUUACCAAAUUAAUGAAGUAAGAUAACACUUAUUUGAGUAUAGUGCAAAUGGGCCUGUAUUAUUUGACUUUGAAAUUCUGGUAAAAGUGUUGCAUGUAGGCACACAUAGGUCGAUAUUUCAGCAACUACUUGAUGUAUCGCGUUGCAUUGAGAUUUUAUACGAUGGUACUAAACCAUCCAAUUUACUAAAAAAACAAGUAAAAUAACUCUAGUUUGCAUUAAGUUUGGCAUCACUCUAAUCCAAUUUAAAGUGAUCCAUGCAUGUUUCGCCAAAACUUUUCAAUCAAGCGACGGAAUAGUAGAACGCACUGUCUCUGUGACAGCUCUUGUUAAUUAAUUGCUUCGAAAUGUUUUCCACCAAAUCUGGUUGUCAAUCCCUGUUUGAGGUUCAUUUGAUAUCAUUAUAUACAUGUCUUAUUUUCAAUUGGAAUGCUGAUAGUUUAAGAGAAAUUGCAUUUUCUCUUCAUGUUUUUUGCUCAUCUGAUGAUAAUUUGCUAAUUCCGAGGAGUGUGAUGUUUCCAUUGCUAGUCUUUCGAGACAUAUCAAAUAUUACUGUUCCAAUGGUGUUUUAUGCAUAAGCCCAUAUCCUUGAUACUUUUGUUUAAAAAUAUUUAUUUCUGUAAUAAAUCUUUCUAAAAUAACUGAAAUUAU